GCGGUGAUUUUAGAAAAUAAAUUUUGUGUUUUUGUGAUAUCAUUUAUCUAGUGAAGAAAGGACUCGAAAUCAAUAGUUGAAAAUAAAAAUCUCACAAAAGCUAUGAUAUUGUACUAAAAUUUUUUAUCAGAGAUAUCAAUUUUGCUGUAGAUAGUAUAAAAAAAAAUUUAUCAAAAUUUUAUCUGAUUUGAAUACUACUACACUAUUAAACUUGCGAACAGGACACAUCAAUAAUUAAAAAUUGGUGAUUUUGAACCCGUCAAUCAUUUAGUAAAUGGUAUCGAAAAAUCGUAAAAUAUAUUUUCUAAAUACUUCGAAUACGCUAAAUCAAGUCUGAUGAAACAGUUCGUCGAUUCAGAAGUUCAAUUAUCAAAAAUAGCUAAGGAGCACGGAAACUUUCGUGCUCUUAACAGCACACAAGUCUUAGUCCACACACACACACAUAUUCGUGCUAAUAUAUCAACAGUUUAUAAGAAUAAUAUUAUGAGACUUAUGAUAAUACUCUUCCAAUAAACCAAGUUGCAUACAUUUGUAAUCACAGCCUUAAUAAGAUUACUCUUUUGUUGAUUGGUAUCAUAAUACACAAUUUAAACCACUUUGAGUCUCUAAAUUAAGGGAAAUCUCUGGGUGGCUUAAAAUAUUACUUUUAUAACUCGUUGAUAUAUUGAUGUAUCUAUCAUUCUACAAAAAAAAUGGUUUAUAGCGACACUUUUAAAUGUCGGCACAGAUCAAAAAAAGUGCUGCUGACUAAAUUACCGACACUUUUAAAAAGUGUUGCUAUAUGUGGGGUCGCUGGGUAUACAGUGACAAUUAAAGAGUGUCGUUAUAACCUAAAAAAAGUGCUGCUAAUUUAUCAACACUUAUUUAACCAUUUAGCAACCGCCGGAACUCUACCUUGUUGGCUGCGGUAGCGGAGGAGGACGAGAGGGAAGGACUCUUCGUCUAGAAUUUCAAUGGAUUGAUUGAGGAGAGAAAGAGAGAUGGUAAUCGAUUUUUUUUUUUUUCUUUUCUGUUUGUAAUUGAGCCGAAUGGGCUGGGUGGGGUGGGCUGAAUAGAGUAACAUUUUAUUUUUGGUUGGAUUGGGCUUUAUAUUUAGGCAUUAGUAGAUUUUUUUAUAUUUUGGCAUAAAUGAGACACUUACACAAAAGUGUCUCAAAUAUGUGUCCCUAUAACGUAAUUCUGUUGUAAUGUUGACACUGUCAAAGUAAUCUAUAAGCCAAUU
rnacentral:lncRNA from 1 species